AUUGAACGCUGGCGGCAGGCCUAACACAUGCAAGUCGAGCGGAUGAGGAGAGCUUGCUCUCUGAUUCAGCGGCGGACGGGUGAGUAAUGCCUAGGAAUCUGCCUGGUAGUGGGGGACAACGUUUCGAAAGGAACGCUAAUACCGCAUACGUCCUACGGGAGAAAGUGGGGGAUCUUCGGACCUCACGCUAUCAGAUGAGCCUAGGUACGAUUAGCUAGUUGGUGAGGUAAAGGCUCACCAAGGCGACGAUCGUUAACUGGUCUGAGAGGAUGAUCAGUCACACUGGAACGGAGACACGGUCCAGACUCCUACGGGAGGCAGCAGUGGGGAAUAUUGGACAAUGGGCGAAAGCCUGAUCCAGCCAUGCCGCGUGUGUGAAGAAGGUCUUCGGAUUGUAAAGCACUUUAAGUUGGGAGGAAGGGCAGUAAGUUAAUACCUUGCUGUUUUGACGUUACCGACAGAAUAAGCACCGGCUAACUUCGUGCCAGCCGCCGCCGUAAUAC
rnacentral:rRNA from 1 species